GGCCAGCGCCCUGAGAGAUAUGUUUGAUAUAUUUGGUGGUGUGGACAGAUUCACCAGAUAUCAGACAUGUCACAACAGAGGUUGGCU
rnacentral:pre_miRNA from 1 species